GCCUGUGUAGUCGAAUUGGUUAACGCGUUUGUCUCUGCCCCCAGCUCGUAAGUUCGAUCCUUACCUUGGGCA